CGGAGGAUGCGAGCGUUAUCCGGAUUUAUUGGGUUUAAAGGGUGCGUAGGCGGAUAGAUAAGUCAGUGGUGAAAACCUGCAGCUUAACUGUAGACUUGCCGUUGAUACUGUCAGUCUUGAGUAUGGUCAAGGUAGGCGGAAUGUGUAAUGUAGCGGUGAAAUGCUUAGAUAUUACACAGAACACCGAUUGCGAAGGCAGCUUACUGGGCCAUUACUGACGCUGAUGCACGAAAGCGUGGGGAUCGAACAGGAUUAGAUACCCUGGUAGUCCACGCCGUAAACGAUGAUCACUCGCUGUUAGCGAUACACAGUUAGCGGCUAAGCAAAAGCAUUAAGUGAUCCACCUGGGGAGUACGGCCGCAAGGCUGAAACUCAAAGGAAUUGACGGGGGCCCGCACAAGCGGAGGAACAUGUGGUUUAAUUCGAUGAUACGCGAGGAACCUUACCUGGGCUUAAAUGUAGAGUGCAUUCAGCUGAAAGGCUGAUUUCCUUCGGGACUCUCUGCAAGGUGCUGCAUGGUUGUCGUCAGCUCGUGCCGUGAGGUGUCGGGUUAAGUCCAUAACGAGCGCAACCCUUAUCGUUAGUUGCCAGCGGGUAAUGCCGGGAACUCUAGCGAAACUGCCGGUGUAAACCGAGAGGAAGGUGGGGAUGACGUCAAAUCAGCACGGCCCUUAUGUCCAGGGCUACACACGUGUUACAAUGGCCGGUACAGAGGGCAGCUAUGCCGCGAGGCAAUGCGAAUCUCGAAAGCCGGUCUCAGUUCGGAUCGGAGUCUGCAACUCGACUCCGUGAAGCUGGAUUCGCUAGUAAUCGCGCAUCAGCCAUGGCGCGGUGAAUACCGUUUCCCGGGCCUU
rnacentral:rRNA from 1 species